rnacentral:rRNA from 1 species
CUAGCUGUAAACGAUGGAUACUAGACGUUGAGAGUAUCGACCCUCUCAGUGUCGUAGCUAACGCGUUAAGUAUCCCGCCUGGGGAGUACGCGCGCAAGCGUGAAACUCAAAGGAAUUGACGGGGGCCCGCACAAGCGGUGGAGUAUGUGGUUUAAUUCGAUGCAACGCGAAGAACCUUACCAGGGCUUGACAUGUCCGGAACCCUGCCCAAAGGCGGGGGUGCCUACGGGAACCGGAACACAGGUGGUGC